rnacentral:misc_RNA from 1 species
CUGAACCGCUGACACGAGUUGUUGCUGGUCUCCAAACGGGGGCAUGUGCACGCUCUGUUUGUGCAUCCACUCACACCUGUGCACCUUCUGUAGUUCUGUGGCUGGGGGACUCGUCCUCCUGCUGUGGUUCUGCGUCUUUACACUCACGCUGUGAUAAAGUCUAAUGGAAUGCAUGCCGCGUUUAACGCAAUACAAUAC